UGGCACAAUAAACUAUAACUGAUUGACCAGUCAGAGCGCGCGCAUUCAUUUAAUUAUUAUAUAAAAGCACAUAACCACGUAACCACAUCACGACAUAACGACGUAUCGACAUAUCGACAUAACGCGUGUUUAAGUCGCAAUGUGAACAUCGACACAAAAACAUAGGAAAGGUCAGUUUUUCCUCAUGUCGUUAUUUUCAUAUAUGCUGUUAUGUUGCUAAUUAAUUAUGUCAUUAUGACGGGAUGUUUACACUGUAAACAUAACGUCCUUCUUGUGUCAUUAUGUCGUUAGUGGGAACUAUGCCUUACUAGCUGACCACAAUUUUAGACGAAAGCAUGGAUUAUUCUUUUGCUCAAGUACAUAUGGUCUGUGAUUUGAGAAAAUAGCUGCGGAAACCACGUUUUAAUAGCAACCGUUAUUAAUUAAUGCAGAGACGCAGAGUAUUAUAAUUAACCAGGGAAUCCACAUCUUAAAUGCUCUUGUUUCAGUUUCGAGAGCGCGCACCUUUUCCGAUCUUUGACGGGUGCUUUUUGUUAUCAAUGUAUAGAUAUAUGUAAUUAUAAAUGUUGUAUAAUGUUAGGGAUAUUUUCCGCGUUUAGGGGUCCAUACGGUCGUGACUGGAUAUUUACAUAUCAAUAUAACCUGCUCUGCAUCUGCGACAUCUGUCGUUGUGCAAAUAUUGUCCUUUUAAACAAAAGUUUUUCCAAAUUUUAAAAACCAUAGGAUCAAAUUAACGGAGUGUUUUUUUUUUUCUGAUGUCAGCAGAAAACAAAGAAACGUGGAUCUGUUUUGAGCGAUAGAAUAUUUCUGUAGACGCGCGGUCCCGUAGCAACUAAACGAAAUGUUAAGCGGUAGGGACAAUUAAUACAUCCGGUGACUUAAAGUUGGAGCGUUGAUUGCAGGUUAAUUUUUUAAGUUAAUUCUCAGCCGUCUAAGGGUUCGAUGAGUAUUAAGACAUUUCCAGCUGAAGAUUCAUUCGUCCAAUCGGCCGCUUUUUUCUAUCCGGGAAUUCUCUUCAUUCGCGACCGCAGACCACAUGAAUGGAAGGCAACAGGAGAUAAGUUGCGUUGUCACAAUAUACAGAAGAGCUUGGAAGUGUGCAAAACCUGUCCAAUUUCAAAUGGCUGUUCUACAGUCAAACAGGGAGAGAAAACUCAAGCUUCAAGAUCUCAACUCGUUUAUUACAUGCGAGAUUUGCAGAGGAUAUUUGAUCAAGCCGACAACGAUCACAGAAUGUCUUCACACAUUCUGCAGGUCGUGCAUCGUGAAAUAUUUACAAGAUAGCGACGACAAUAACUGCCCCAGUUGCUCAUCUCAGAUUCACGAAACCAAUCCAUUCGACUUACUCAGGUCCGAUAAAACUCUGGAAGAUAUUAUUCAUAAACUUGUUCCCAAACUGCAAGAACGUGAGCAGAGACGAGAAAGAGAAUUCCUUGAACAGCUCAACUCUGAGAACGAGAAGAAAACAAAAGAGGCAGAAGAAACCAAAGAAUACGCUUCAGAUUCCGCAACCGAGCCUGCGAACAAGCGAAAAAAGCUAUCAGCGACCGAAGAGAACUAUCACCGCGAUGACCCUCAGAUUGGAGUUUGCCUGGAGUGUCUGAUUGACGACUCAGUUCAGGCCGAGCAUCCUGUGAGAGAACUGGAACGUAAAUACAUCCGCUGUUCAUCACGACUGACAAUAGCACAAGUCAAGAAAUUCCUGAAAGUCAAGCUUAAUCUCAAAACCGCUGACCAGGUUGAAGUAAUGUGUAACGGAGAAAUCAUGGGUAAAGAUCACACUCUGGAAUUUGUGUACAUGACCAGAUGGAGGGUUAAGGAGGGAUCAGUCCUUGUGCUUCAGUACAGACCAAGAUUAGAUUUUCUUUAAACAUCUAUUAUGGAAAGUUAGAUAAAGGUCUGGAGUCAUAGAUGAUUCAUUUAGAGAAAAACUGUAAAGUAAAAAUAAAAGUCAGUCAUCUUUAAACAAGAACAAGACCCUCGAGACCAGAGCCUCAGAAGAUUUUUUCUUAUAAGAGGGGCUACCGAUCGAAUUCCCCCAUCGUAUAUUUCUUUCGGCCAUGGCUCUGACUUGGGAAACGCCGAGUGAGUAUGGUGUGUGUUCAGCAACUCACAUGGAACACAUGGGAACAGCUUCAUGAACUAGAAAGGUUCGACUAACCAGCUCACUCACCGAGGGGAGUUCGCACUCCUGAGAAGAUGGAGGAUGACUCAUAAUGUUAACUUGAAGUCGGUUGACGUUGAUGGUCUCCUUGUUAUGCAGAUAGCAAAAACGUCGGCAUUCUUGGGUUGAGCGGUUUUUGCAGCAGGUUGCGGAUGUGGCUUUGAUAUCACACGCACCACUCACCUCAUCUCAUCGUCACACGUAGUAUUUUGCUUGUAAAUAUUUCUGAAUGGUUUCAGUGUCUUAACUUCAACUUCAAGGAGCUCGAUGAAGUAUACGUUGUCAUUAUCGGUGUCCAUACAAUCGUCAUACACAUUAUACUCUAUGGUCUAUUUAGAACUGUUCACAUCAUCUGUCCUCAUUGCGCCAUGGAACGCAUAAGGCCUUAAUUGUUCACAGCAUGAAAAAAAAAACUUUACUACUGUGUAAAGCCGGCGUAAUGCUCCCGUAAAGUUCUUAUUUAAACAGCUUUACGCUACUUUUACGUUACCUAAAGAUGGGCUUUACACUACCUUUACGCUCAUCAAGUUAAAAAGCGAACACCCAGGGGCAAACCCCAACUUUAUACAAGGUUUACUUCAACUUUACCCUCGGUAGCUUAAAAGUUGGCUUGAAGAACUUAAACGAGUCAGUGAUUAAGUUAUAGCGUAAAGCUUAACUAUGGAGAUUCAAGCCAACUUUGACUUUUCGUAAAUCUCUAUUUUCAUACUGUGAUUGGUUUUGUCGAAGUGCGUCACAUGACGCACAAAUUAGGACUGGUGACGAAGAUGUCUACAGCGACGAGGUUGCAUUGAUUUUUUGGUAAACCAAAUGAAGUGGGAUACGAAACUUAACCAGCAUUAUGUAAAUUAAAAAGAAAUAAAGACUGUAAAUUUGUUAGCAAAACGUUGCUAAAAAAUAGUGAUAAGACCUGAUAAUAACAAUAAGGAGAGAUUAUUAUCAUUAUUAUUAUUGUUGUUGUUA
rnacentral:misc_RNA from 1 species